GGAUAUGCGUGCUGUCUGGCUGCGACACAUCACCCCAUUGAUCGCCAGAGUUGAUUUGGCUGAUCUAGCUGGCUACGUGGGUGUCCCCUUCCUCCCUCACUGCUCCUUGUGUGUCCUGCCUGGAAGCUGAGUGCAGUGGAAGAGGAUGACCUUCUCCCAUAGAGAAGGACCAUUAUUGGAUCGAGGGUAUAUGAGAAGCUUCACUCUCCUGUUAGAUCCUCCCAAACAAGAUCUCAAGGUCCAUUUCUGGGGGAACGCAAUGUAGUCAAACUUUCAGAACUCCAGACACAUCCAAAUGAGGCACUACAUGUGGCAGUCUGCCUUUCUAA
rnacentral:snRNA from 1 species